rnacentral:rRNA from 1 species
GCAUGGAAUAAUAAAAUAGGACGUGUGGUUCUAUUUGUUGGUUUCUAGGACCGCCGUAAUGAUUAAUAGGGAUAGUCGGGGGCAUCAGUAUUCAAUUGUCAGAGGUGAAAUUCUUGGAUUUAUUGAAGACUAACUACUGCGAAAGCAUCUGCCAUUGAUGUUUUCAUUAAUCAGUGAGCGAAAGUUAGGGGGUCGAAGACGAUCAGAUACCGUCGUAGUCUUAACCACAAACUAUGCCGACUAGGGAUCGGGCGAUGUUAUCUUUUUGACUCGCUCGGCACCUUACGAGAAAUCAAAGUUUUUGGGUUCUGGGGGGAGUAUGGUCUCAAGGCUGAAACUUAAAGAAAUUGACGGAGGGGCACCACCAGGAGUGGAGCCUGCGGCUUAAUUUGACUCAACACGGGGAAACUCACCAGGUCCAGACACAAUAAGGAUUGACAGAUUGAGAGCUCUUUCUUGAUUUUGUGGGUGGUGGUGCAUGGCCAUUCUUAGUUGGUGGAGUGAUUUGUCUGCUUAAUUGCGAUAACGAACGAGACCUUAACCUGCUAAAUAGCCCGGCUAGCUUUGGCUGGUCGCUGGCUUCUUAGAGGGACUAUCGGCUCAAGCCGAUGGAAGUUUGAGGCGAUAACAGGUCUGUGAUGCCCUUAGAUGUUCUGGGCCGCACGCGCGCUACACUGACAGAGCCAACGAGUUCAUCACCUUGGCCGAAAGGCCUGGGUAAUCUUGUUACACUCUGUCGUGCUGGGGAUAGAGCAUUG